rnacentral:rRNA from 1 species
UACAGAGGGUGCGAGCGUUAAUCGGAAUUACUGGGCGUAAAGCGCACGUAGGCGGAUAUUUAAGUCAGGGGUGAAAUCCCGGGGCUCAACCCCGGAACUGCCUUUGAUACUGGGUAUCUCGAGUCCGAGAGAGGUGAGUGGAAUUCCGAGUGUAGAGGUGAAAUUCGUAGAUAUUCGGAGGAACACCAGUGGCGAAGGCGGCUCACUGGCUCGGUACUGACGCUGAGGUGCGAAAGCGUGGGGAGCAAACAGG